rnacentral:pre_miRNA from 2 species
UCUUAUGGGUGAGUAAAGAAAGUGGUUUCUUGAAAGGAGUCUACUCCUCAUGAAGAUGCUGUGAA